rfam:Felis catus isolate Cinnamon breed Abyssinian chromosome X, whole genome shotgun sequence.
GCCUGGGUGGCUCAGUCGGUUGGGCGUCUGACUUCGGCUCAGGUCAUGAUCUCGCGGUCCGUGAGUUCGAGCCCCGCGUCGGGCU